CUGCAAUAAUUGAAGCUUUGUGGCUUCAUUAUGGCUAAAUUAAAUAAUUUAGCUAGUAUCUUUUCAUUCUUUGAGUAUUUGAGAGGAGGCAGCAAGCUUAGGAAAAACAACAACCUUUCUCUUGGAGUUUUAACGACCGAAGAAAGCAGCAUCUCAAUUCUUUUGGAAGCUCGGUGACUGAAGACAACUCUUCACCGGCAAGCUUAGAGGAUCUUUUCAUUAGAGUGACCCUAGCUUCAGGCCUUGAGUUUUAGUUGAGGAUUAGAUCAGGCAGCAUCUGAGGAACCCAACUUUGUAGCUUGAGCCAGUACAUCUCCAAUUACUCGCAAAUUGCCCAGCUAGGAGGAGUAAGUCUUAGCUAUAUGCACAUGUAUUAUGUAGUAGCGCUACCGGACAUGUGUGUCCGUUCCGACUGCGGUCGAAGAUCCGGCUUUGGCUAUUGAUAUUCUGUCUGUUCCGACUUCAUAGUCGAAGAUCCAUGCCUCGAGCUGUUGAUUUUGUUUAUUAGUCAAGGAGAUGUACACUUCUGGUUUUCACGUAUUUUUUGUAUUCUGAUCAUUUUUGUAUUCUGUAUAUUUUCUUAAAUUCUGUAUGUUAUAUUAUUAUUUAUGCAAUUAUCUUGCAUUCUUUUUUUAUGUCUUGUUGAAAUAACUGAACUUUGAGGUUGUAGAUCUUGUAGUGUAUUUCUUAUGUGAGCAAGAUUUGUAUUCUAUCUGUACGUAGUUUGGUUUUCAAACUGUUAAGUGUGGCACAUUGUAUUUCUGUAUGGCUAUUAAAACCCAAACUUGAAAUA